rnacentral:rRNA from 1 species
CCUACGGGGUGCAGCAGUGAGGAAUAUUGGUCAAUGGGCUUACGCCUGAACCAGCCAAGUCGCGUGAGGGAAGACUGCCCUAUGGGUUGUAAACCUCUUUUGUCAGGGAGCAACGCCGGCUACGUGUAGCCGGCCUGAUAGUACCUGCAGAAAAAGCAUCGGCUAACUCCUUGCCAGCAGCCGCGGUAAUACGGAUGAUGCGAGCGUUAUCCGGAUUUAUUGGGUUUAAAGGGUGCGUAGGCGGAACGGCAAGUCAGCGGUAAAAGCGCGGGGCUCAACCUCGCUCCGCCGUUGAAACUGGCGUUCUUGAGUGGGCGAGAAGUAUGCGGAAUGCGUGGUGUAGCGGUGAAAUGCAUAGAUAUCACGCAGAACUCCGAUUGCGAAGGCAGCAUACCGGCGCCCAACUGACGCUGAAGCACGAAAGCGUGGGUAUCGAACAGGAUUAGAUACCCCAGUAGUC